rnacentral:rRNA from 1 species
UCUAGGGGAGGCAGCAGUGAGGAAUAUUGGUCAAUGGACGUAAGUCUGAACCAGCCAAGUAGCGUGCAGGACGAAGGCCCUAUGGGUUGUAAACUGCUUUUAUGCGGGGGUAAAGUGAGUGACGUGUCAUUCAUUGCAAGUACCGCAAAAAUAAGGACCGGCUAAUUCCGUGCCAGCAGCCGCGGUAAU